UACGUAGGGAGCAAGCGUUGUCCGGAAUUAUUGGGCGUAAAGAGCUCGUAGGCGGUCUGUUGCGUCCGCUGUGAAAACUCGGGGCUUAACCCCGAGCCUGCAGUGGAUACGGGCAGACUAAAGGUAGGUAGGGGAGAAUGGAAUUCCCGGUGUAGCGGUGAAAUGCGCAGAUAUCGGGAGGAACACCGGUGGCGAAGGCGGUUCUCUGGGCCUUACCUGACGCUGAGGAGCGAAAGCGUGGGGAGCGAACAGG
rnacentral:rRNA from 1 species